GUCUAGGGCCAUGCCACCCUGAAGGCGCUCGAUCUCGUCUGAUCUCGGAAGCUAAGCGGGGUCGGGCCUGGUUAGUACUUUGAUGGGAAGAGAUAUGGCAAUUGGACU
rnacentral:rRNA from 1 species